rnacentral:rRNA from 1 species
UACGUAGGGGGCAAGCGUUGUCCGGAAUCAUUGGGCGUAAAGAGCGCGUAGGCGGCCCGAUAAGUCCGCUGUGAAAGUCGGGGGCUCAACCCUCGGAUGCCGAUCGAUACUGUCGGGCUAGAGUCCGGAAGAGGCGAGUGGAAUUCCUGGUGUAGCGGUGAAAUGCGCAGAUAUCAGGAGGAACACCCGUAGCGAAGGCGGCACUCUGGGCCGGAACUGACGCUGAGGAGCGAAAGCGUGGGGAGCGAACAGG